GACGAACGCUGGCGGCGUGCUUAACACAUGCGAGUCGAACGGAAAGGCCUGCUUUCCCUUGUGGAUUGCGGGUACUCGAGUGGCGAACGGGUGAGUAACACGUGAGUGAUCUGCCCCCAACUUGGGUAUAAGCCUGGGAAACUGGGUCUAAUUCCCGAUAGGACUGCAGGGUGGUGCCUGUGGUGGAAAACGAUUUUCUAGUGGUUGGGGAUGAGCUCGCGGCCUAUCAGCUUGUUGGUGGGGUAAUGGCCUACCAAGGCGGCGACGGGUAGCCGGCCUGGGAGGGUGGACGGCCACAUUGGGACUGAGAUACGGCCCAGACUCCUACGGGAGGCAGCAGUGGGGAAUAUUGCACAAUGGGCGGAAGCCUGAUGCAGCGACGCCGCGUGGGGGAUGACGGCCUUCGGGUUGUAAACUCCUUUCGACCGCGAGGAAGCCACCUGGUUGGAAGGGUGGUGACGGUAGUGGUAGAAGAAGCACCGGCUAACUACGU
rnacentral:rRNA from 1 species